CCGUUCCCAUACCGAACACGGAAGUUAAGCUCUCUAGCGCCGAUGGUAGUUGGGACCUUGUCCCUGUGAGAGUAGGACGUCGCCAAGC
rnacentral:rRNA from 8 species